rnacentral:rRNA from 1 species
UACGAAGGGGGCUAGCGUUGCUCGGAAUCACUGGGCGUAAAGGGUGCGUAGGCGGGUCUUUAAGUCAGGGGUGAAAUCCUGGAGCUCAACUCCAGAACUGCCUUUGAUACUGAGGAUCCUGAGUUCGGGAGAGGUGAGUGGAACUGCGAGUGUAGAGGUGAAAUUCGUAGAUAUUCGCAAGAACACCAGUGGCGAAGGCGGCUCACUGGCCCGAUACUGACGCUGAUGCACGAAAGCGUGGGGAGCGAACAGG